GAUGAACGCUGGCGGCGUGCCUAAUACAUGCAAGUCGAGCGAACGGACGAGAAGCUUGCUUCUCUGCUGUUAGCGGCGGACGGGUGAGUAACACGUGGAUAACCUACCUAUAAGACUGGGAUAAUUUCGUGAAACCGGAGCUAAUACCGGAUGAUAUUUUGAACCGCAUGGUUCAAAAGUGAAAGACGGUCUUGCUGUCACUUAUAGAUGGAUCCGCGCUGCAUUAGCUAGUUGGUAAGGUAACGGCUUACCAAGGCAACGAUGCAUAGCCGACCUGAGAGGGUGAUCGGCCACACUGGAACUGAGACACGGUCCAGACUCCUACGGGAGGCAGCAGUAGGGAAUCUUCCGCAAUGGGCGAAAGCCUGACGGAGCAACGCCGCGUGAGUGAUGAAGGUCUUCGGAUCGUAAAACUCUGUUAUUAGGGAAGAACAUAUGUGUAAGUAACUGUGCACAUCUUGACGGUACCUAAUCAGAAAGCCACGGCUAACUACGUG
rnacentral:rRNA from 1 species